GAUGAACGCUGGCGGCGUGCCUAAUACAUGCAAGUCGAACGCUUUGUCUUUAAUUGAUAUGAAGAGCUUGCUCUGAUUUGAUUUUAUCUGACAAAGAGUGGCGAACGGGUGAGUAACACGUGGGUAACCUACCUCUUAGCAGGGGAUAACAUUUGGAAACAAGUGCUAAUACCGUAUAACACUAACAACCGCAUGGUUGUUAGUUGAAAGAUGGUUCUGCUAUCACUAAGAGAUGGACCCGCGGUGCAUUAGCUAGUUGGUAAGGUAAUGGCUUACCAAGGCGAUGAUGCGUAGCCGAGUUGAGAGACUGAUCGGCCACAAUGGGACUGAGACACGGCCCAUACUCCUACGGGAGGCAGCAGUAGGGAAUCUUCCACAAUGGGCGCAAGCCUGAUGGAGCAACGCCGCGUGUGUGAUGAAGGGUUUCGGCUCGUAAAACACUGUUAUAAGAGAAGAACGACAUUGAGAGUAACUGUUCAGUGUGUGACGGUAGCUUAUCAGAAAGGAACGGCUAAAUACGUG
rnacentral:rRNA from 1 species